AUGUGAUCGCAGAUUCAGUGAUCAUCGAAUCUUUGAACGCACAUUGCGCCCUUUGGUAUUCCGGGGGGCAUGCCUGUUCGAGCGUCAUUUCAACCCUCAAGCCCUGGCUUGGUAUUGGGCUUCGGCGCUCACCGGGCGGGCCUUAAAAUCAGUGGCGGAGCCUCCGAGGCCCUGAGCGCGGUAAAUAUCCUCGCUAUAGGGACCCGGUGGUUACUGGCCAGCAACCCCGACUUUCUAAGUUUGACCUCGGAUCAGGUAGGGAUACCCGCUGAACUUAAGCAUAUCAUAAGGUGAAGGAAAUCAUGUG
rnacentral:rRNA from 1 species